UACGUAGGUGGCAAGCGUUGUCCGGAUUUACUGGGCGUAAAGAGCGCGCAGGCGGUCGUUCAAGUCGCGUGUGAAAGCCCCCGGCUCAACUGGGGAGGGUCACGCGAUACUGAUCGACUCGAAGGCAGGAGAGGGAAGUGGAAUUCCCGGUGUAGUGGUGAAAUGCGUAGAUAUCGGGAGGAACACCAGUGGCGAAGGCGGCUCUCGUGGGACGGUACUGACGCUGAGACGCGAAAGCGUGGGGAGCGAACAGG
rnacentral:rRNA from 1 species